rnacentral:rRNA from 1 species
AUUGAACGCUGGCGGCAGGCCUAACACAUGCAAGUCGAGCGGAUGACGGGAGCUUGCUCCUUGAUUCAGCGGCGGACGGGUGAGUAAUGCCUAGGAAUCUGCCUGGUAGUGGGGGACAACGUUUCGAAAGGAACGCUAAUACCGCAUACGUCCUACGGGAGAAAGCAGGGGACCUUCGGGCCUUGCGCUAUCAGAUGAGCCCAGGUCGGAUUAGCUAGUUGGUGGGGUAAUGGCUCACCAAGGCGACGAUCCGUAACUGGUCUGAGAGGAUGAUCAGUCACACUGGAACUGAGACACGGUCCAGACUCCUACGGGAGGCAGCAGUGGGGAAUAUUGGACAAUGGGCGAAAGCCUGAUUCAGCCAUGCCGCGUGUGUGAAGAAGGGCUUCGGAUUGUAAAGCACUUUAAGUUGGGAGGAAGGGCAGUAAGUUAAUACCUUGCUGUUUUGACGUUACCGACAGAAUAAGCACCGGCUAACUCUGUGCCAGCCGCCGCAGUAA